rnacentral:lncRNA from 1 species
UUGUCGAAGGCUAUAUUAGAAGCCUUUAAUUCCGAGAUUUGUUUCUUGAGAUAAUUUAUCUCUGUACUUAAAUCUUGGACAGUAGCCAUCCUUUCAGGCUGAGAUUUAUUUUUCAGCAUCCUUCUUAUUUCAAACAUGGUGUAUGGUCCCUUAAUUCAGGAUCUUUUAUGGCCCUUAAUAACUCAACCAUAUUAUCACUGGUUAAGACAUUGAUGUUUUAAUCCUGAAAAGUGAUAGUAAACACUAAUGAUUGUCGUUGGUAUUACAACAAUGAUUUGAACAUUGUCCUUUAUCAAAGAAUUCUUGCUCAUAUUCAAAGGAUGAAAUAUAAUCUUCCUCAUGGAGGACUCGUAAAUCCUCACUUGUUGAUGAAUUAUUUUCAUCUAUGUCAGAUAUUUAUGGUGAAGAAUCCAAAAGGAUCUUACAUAAUGAUUCUUUGAUGUCAUCAAGGUUUUUAAUUUUAUCUUUGACCUUGCAAUUUUUUACAUAAUGACCAAUACGACCACGCUUGUAGCAUGCUUGAGGGUUUUUUGAUUUGAAAAAACCCUUAUUAGCUUUAUGAAAAGCCGUUCUUCUUUGGGUUUUUUCAUGUCUUUUUUCAGACGAAUACUUAGUUCUUUUGAAAUCCUUUUUCUUAUGGGAUUUCUUUCUCUUAGAAGGCAUAGCGAACUGUUCACAAAAUUCGCCCAAUUGUUGUCUCUCAGUGAGACGAUAUUACUUAAUUUGUUGGUUUAGCUUUAUUUUGUUACAUAAAGCUAAGCCUUCCUGAGUGCAUACACUAAUCAAUUUACCAUAUGAGUAAGUAUCAUAGUUAAUACUCAUCCCUGUACCUCUAAGGACCUUUCUAAUCCUUUCAGCAAAUAAGGGAGGAGUCCAUCUAUAAAUUUGGACUUCCAAUGAGUACUAUUACUUUCUGGUAAUUCCAUAACUCUGGAUAAGAAAACAUCUUUAUACCAUCUGAAAGUUGUAAGGGUUUGACACCUUAGGUUCUGGAGCAUUGUUCUAAUGGUCUCACUAUUAUCAGACCAUCUUCUAUAAAAAUGUUUUAUAAUAUUCAUGACUAAAAAAUAGACUGUAUUUUGUAUAGUAUUAUCUUUCAGUUUUAGUGGCAUUCGUUAUUUGAUGCCUUUGGUCAUGAGUAAGAUAAUUAUCCCACCAGCCUUUAAGUUGACCAAUAUAUGCGACAAUAAUCAUUUCUGCAAUUGCCCUAUCUGAAUUUUUCUUAACUUUACAUAUUGUACUGUACAUAAGCAUUCUACGUAUUGUAGUAUAGAUUUGUACUUCAGCAAUUCCAUCUAUGUUCCACUCAUAGAUAUCUGACUCACUGUAUCCUUGGUGGUAGUGGUCAUUGUCUUGUUCUUCUAUUAGGACAUCAUGAGGG